GGAAGAGUAUGCAGAAAAGUGGCAGUGGUCUUUUCACUGAGCGUUCGUGUCUGGAGCGUUGACUAGCUUCUACCACUCUCUCUCUCUCUCGCUCUCACUCUCAUUGUUGAUUAGGGUGGAGGUUGAAACUGGAUUUAACUGACGCUUAAAGAAAGAAAGUAACGUGAAAUAGAGUAGCAUAACAGAGCAUGUGUUGUAUAUGUUUUUUUAGAUAUCUCUGUAUGAAUAUAAAGAAUGUUUACUGCACGGAACGAACAGAUGAAGUUGUGGAGUUGUAGAUGAAUCUUCAAGUUCAAAACUGAAUUGAAUAUUUCGUACAUAGAGAUUUUUUGCGGGCAACGGAAUUGGCCUAGUCUGCACCCUAAGCCUGACUCCAUAUUGCCGCCAGGUGUAGGCUGACUCCGGUACGGACAUCGAACUGGUCAGCACCAUAGACAGACGUCCUCCACCGGUACGCUGCUUUACUAUGCCCUUUUUUCUUCUGUCCGCUCUCUUAGUUCUUUUUCAGUCCCAACUUUUUCCAAACGUGUUUUUAAACUGCAUUUUAUUUACGAUCGAGUCUUGCCAUUUCUUCUUAGUUUAAAAGUCGCGACAGCUCUCCACAUUGCUGUAAAAAUAAGCUCCGAAAUCGCUUCAUAAGCAAACACUUUUGUAAUAUUUUACUUUUUGAUUUUAAGUAAGAAAUACCAGAGCACUACAUUAGGUUCAUUUCUGAAAUAAAUGUAGGUCAACUGCGGUCAAAGAUUUAACAUACUUAAAAAAUAAAAAAAAGUAAUUUUGCUGGUUUGGUUGUUGUCAGAUAUUUUUGUCCACGUACUGUUUGACGAGUCACAACUCAUUCGUUUCCAGUGGCUUAAAAAUCGGCAAGCAAAUAACAGCAAUGGGUUUUUCUGGGUGGUCGUACGAUGCCAUGGAAACACAUUUGAAAUGUGAGACUGUACUGUGUGCAUGUUCAAGAUUUGUUCCACCAACAACUUCUUUUCUUUCUGUCUGGCAGUUUUCAUUAUAUAAUACACUGGGUCUCCUUGUAGAAAUAGGUCAAAAAUGUAGAUAUCUUUAACAUUUACUCUAUUGUUCUGGAAUAACCUUUAUUUCCCUUAGGGAGUGGCACUGUACCAUGAAUCAUGGCAUUUCUAAUUGCAGCUUGUUGCACCUACAACUUGAAGUGCAGACUGGGAAAGCCCUUUAUGCAGAGUUUGUGAUUUCUUAUUUCUGUGUAGUAAAUGACUGUAAUGGGUAUAAACCAAAAAUAUGUUUAAUGCAAAUUUCGAUACUUGAUAUUUCUAUACUCCCGCUCAAGUUGCAUAUACUGUACACUUUAAGCAUGUAGAUAUUAAAAAAUAAAUAAAGUGUUUCUGCUUUUGCUGCAUUCUCAAAUGUCAGUCACUGCAGUAUAUUUGAGCCAACAGUAGCGGUGUUGUCUGAUCCGGGCACAGCAAACACCACCUGUGUCUUUCAAACUGACCUUCACUCUGAAGGAUGUGUCUUAAACCAGUAGUGAUUCGAAAUUCAAGGAAUUUAUGGUGAAAAAUAGGAGCUUAGUGGAAGCUUGACCUUAAUCAUUUAUCCAAUUAGUUAUUAAACGAUAUACUCAAAAGUUUGUUAGUUUUUCGUUAAACCACACCCAAGAAUUCUACAUCAAAUUAUUUGAUCAGUUACUGAUCGGAGUUGAAGUCACAUUGAUAUUUAGGAUUUUUUGACUCAUCGAAUUUAUCGACUUAUUCUGUAUGUAGACAAUAUUCUUGGAGUAAAUUUGUUCAUUUCUUUUAUUUUUUUUUAUUUCUAUUGGAUACAUAACUGAGCCCAUUAAUUGAUUUAACAGCAUCAGUACCCUUCUCUGUUUUUGCAUUCCUAAUCUUAUCUUUUAUCUAUCCUUUUCAUGAAUUUCAGGUGAUGCACAUAAUGAUCUUCUACCUCUGCAUUACCUGGCAAGACCAUUAUAUCUUUCCAAAAAGUACUUAACUUUCAAACAUGUGUGUCUGUAUUUGUCUUUUUGUUUUUAACCGCUUUGUUAAACUGUGCAUGAAGAAAAAGAUUCAACAGUCAUAAGAAUUAGCAUUUCGUAAUGCAGUGGAUAUUAUUUUCGGUGUCCGUAGCUGUGACGCAGUGCAGUGAUGCCAGCUGCCACAAACCCGUAGAUCCGAACUUGUGGUGACUCUGUGCACAAGCUCGUGUCUAUAGGUAUGUGUCUGCGAGGUGAACGCAACAGUCUUCCCUGCAGCCACUGACGCUGACUAGAAAACUUCUGUUCAGUGUUGACACUUACGCUGUAAAAUUAUAAGGUUGUUUUAAAUAUUAGCAUCUAAGUUUGCACCUAUUUAUGAGCAUAAAUUGAUUGCACCUAUUUUUAAGAAUAGGUAAAGGAGUUUUGGAUGCUUGCAUAUGCGCAAACGUAAGCAGUGGUGAGAUUCUAAUUUCCUCCCCUUCAACUAUUACAGCGAUGUCUCGGGAUGAGGUAGUAGGUUGUAUAGUUUAGAGUUACAACAUGGGAGAUAACUGUACAGCCUCCUAGCUUUCCUCGAGCAGACGCCCUUCUCUGUACAACAUGCAUUGCUAAUGCUGAUGAACUAGCAUUGCAACUAACGUGCUAAGAGCAGUACAACAGUGACUAUCAGCAUUGUAUGUGUGAAGGUCUUGACAGAAUGUCAGACAGAAUUUAGAUUUUUUUAUGGCAAGUGCAUACAACAAUUAAGGCAUGUUCACACAGAGGCGGAUAACUAUAACUAUAAAGUUUAAAUAAAUGUUCGAAUUCUGUGUGAAUGGGGGAAUUCGCAACACAGCUAUAAUAAUAACGACACAGGGGACCAAUAUAAUUGAAAUCACUUUCAGAACCAUUUUGUUUUCCAGCUGAUGAAUAAUAAAAACAUUGACAGCCAGUUAGAAGCAUUUAAAGCGGCGGAUGACAGAACUACAGCGUAUGCUUAUAAUAAACACAGUGUUAUCAUCCGUUGGUGUGGACGCUCUUAUAUUUAUUGUUGUAGUUUUAUGAAUUAUAGUCAUCAUUCUUGGUGUGAACAGGCCUUUAGCCAGAAUUACUGUGUUUGCUAAACGUCCGUAUAUCUUGGUUCCAAUAGAACCUGUACUUAAAUUAACAUUCAGAUUGAUCCUUAUGUGUUUAAUUCUUGCUGUUUAAUUUAAAGGUGACAUAAAAUGAAAAUCUGACUUCCAGGUUUUAAGUGCUAUAAUCAGGCACCUAGCACCCAAAGGAAAGGUGAAAAAGAUUAACCCAGUAACUUCGUUUUGAUAAGCUUUUUUUCUGCAGGCGUCUGAAAAAACGAGCGCGUCUGAUUCCGCUCCCCUAGUGACGUGGCAAAGGGAUCUCAUUAUAAUAUUACCACCUCUUAAUCUGUAAGUUUCCACCCACGGCACCGUCAUUUGAUUUCACAAGCGACAACGGUGUACCAGCUCUAAUGCCAUGGCGAAAGUUUGAGCAAAACACACAAACUGUUCUGUCUUUGGCUGCACAGACGAGAACAGAACACUAUUUAGAGUCCCAGCCUCAGAGGAGACAAG